AACAAAAAAUUGGUUCGAUCUAGAGUCCCCAAGUGAAAUGUUCAGACUUGCGCCAUCGAAAACAGGAACUUGUGAAGAAGAAGAUGAACGUUGCCUCCCACGGGGGAUGAACUUCCAUCAAGGGCUCCAAAGCAAGUGGCGAACAAGAUGCCAGGCCACUGCAGGAUGCAACCACGCCUUGUGGUUGUAAUGUAGCGUUGUAACUGCACCUGGGUCUACGGCUUUGGCCCCUGUCACAAAGGCCAUUUCCUGCUGGAGGCUUCCCGCUUCUGGGUAAAAGCAGAACCAUCUGGCAGGAUUAAAGCGAAGGAUGUCGACACUAAUAAAAAUUCCACCAAAGAGAGGGAACUCCCCGGCUCACGAGUGCAACGAUAGAGUGAAGCACAGCACCAAGAGAGAGGUUCCAUUGUCGCAUCAUGCGGAAAUAACUUGGCCCAACUAGAGGAACGGACGAGCUUCAGUUGGCACCCAAAAAGCCAUUCUUUUCGUCAAAGGUGCUUCAAUGUCAACUGAACCACAUGUCAAUGCUUCCGUGGUGGGAGUGAUGGAGCAGCAGAUGCACUGGCUCAACGUUUCCUUGACAAGAUCAACUCCGGACAUGGUCAUGCGCUACGGUGCUACUGACGUCGACAGAUUUUCAGCGCCACCAUCGGCAACGCUGCCUUGCGACAAUGCUAGAAAAGAAGAAGCAUCACGGAUCACGGGCAUGUUCACGGGCAUCGUGAACAUGCGUCUGAAACACCCGUUUCUGUUUCUCGUGCAGGGGACUGACAGACAUAUAAUUCUUCUCCCGGCGCAUUUCCCCACCUUAGUGUACGAAAGUGUGCUAACAUCGUGGUCUUCGUCGUCAUUGAAGUAUCAUCGCAUGCCGAGACGUUGAUGGGAGGGUGCAGUUCUGUUAUUGUAAUUUUAUUUAUAUUUGAAAUGUUUAAAUGCCUAAUAAACAAUUAUA